rnacentral:lncRNA from 1 species
GUGAAGCAGAAUCCUUACGUAAUUCAAUAAAAAAUUAAAGCUUCCUCUGAGGGUUAUGCAUUUAGCCGCUGUCUUUCCUUACAUUAACAAUAAAAAAAGCUCUGACAUCCGAGUUUUGAGGGUUACAUAAGUCACUGCAGCACAUUAACCCACAUGUUCCUUCAAGCAUGAAUCGCAUUUCAGAGAGCUCUUCUCUCCCCGACUGGACGGCCAAAUCCUUCCUGAUGAGUAGGGUCUUUUCAUGAAGCUUUUGGAGUGCGGGUAUAGGACAAAAGAGCAGGGACACACUGGAGCCUCUUCAGUACAGCAGUCGGCUGUUGGGCUUCACAUGUCCGCUCACGGGUCUAAAGGCUGGAUUUGGAACUGCAUCUAGGCCGCCUGCAACUGUACGAGGACCUGACGAAAACUGACGUCUCUAAACUCAUCAGCAAGAAUGAUCCUCAGACUUGGAAGGCUGACACCAGGAUACUUUUGUCUUCUUCAGAGGCAGAUGUCAGGUGAGGUCCGGCUGCAGCCGCAGAGGAGCAUCGUGGAGCACGUUGCCAUGACAAUGGCCACGGUGGGGACGGGCAUGUCUCUGUACAGUGCCAGGCAGAUGGCAGUCAAACGCCUGGGAGAUCACUGAAGGCUCUGUGGACACUGUUUGAGACUGUGAAUGUCAGAGAGGGUUUGUGAGGGAGCAGGCUGAAAGGAAUGAUGUGUUUUUGCUGCUGCUGGCAGGAAAAUGUAAGUCUCUCAAAAGAAAGGGUGGGAUUUAUUCUCUUAAAUGUGAGCGAAUGUGAGUUUUCAAUACAAAUGUUAACUUCUAGAGUAAACAUUGACUAGCAUUAAAAUAAACUACAAAACUGUAAGUGUGAGGAGAAAGUGGCGGGAAACAGUCAUUAUCACUUGUUUUUGUUGUUUAUCUCAGGCACAGUUUUCCCCCAUAAAGGUUUGCCUUUUUUGGCAAACAUAUAAUCAAUAAUUUACUGAACCACACAACUACAAUUUCACUUUUGAUUCUGACCAUUUGUUCAAGGAUUAAUUCUGAAUAGUCACUGUGAUUCUUUGAAAUAAAUGAGUAAGAAUUUCCGGGGUCUGUGUUUUCAGUUUUUUUCAGCUUCGAAAGUAGUAAGUGUGUAUAAUUAUUAAUUUAGCAGUUGAAACAGUACAACACAUGGCCUAAUGAACAUCAAUUACAAAUCGAGUAACAGGAGGGGGUAAAUGAUCACUUGUUUACUGAAAUAAAUAAAGAUGCUUCAUUUUACUGCAAAUAUUUUUUUAUCUUUUGUUCUUUAAAUAGUAUCAAUAGUUCUAAAAAUAUCUUGAAAUCACUAAUAAAUACUUUAAUUUUUUUUCAGAGAAAACCGUCACAUAUUUAUAUUUACUUAACU